rnacentral:lncRNA from 1 species
GUGGUCGCUGCCGCCCCACUGGCUCCCGGGUGGACACUAACACCGUGACACAGAGAAUGCUCUGCCGCUCUCCGUGCCCUGGCGUGGGACCGUGACAGGUCUCCAAGAUGUGUUAGGAAGUGAAAAGGCCAAGGAGCAGAGCAGUGUGGUCAGGAGGCCGCCGCUGACGAAAGGGAGCAGUAGUCACGUGGACCUGCAGGCUGAAGGCUCUGCGGCAGGACGGCGGGAGUCUGAGGAGCAGCAGGCCAGGCCCAAGUGUGGCCGUGACCUCUGAGCGGUAGCAAGCCCAUGGGACACAGAGUGUUCGCAGGGCUGGGGCUCAAAACAUCCGACCAGAAAAAGUCCCUGAGGAGCCACUGAAGAAAGGGCCACGCAGCUGUCUAAGGCUUCAGUCCCUCCUGGAGCUGGCAGCACAGAGCUCUGGACCAGCCCCAGGACCAGGGGACGAGGGGAAAUGCAGACCCUGGCGCCUCCUGGUCUUGGAGCCACGGCUUUCCGCUGCUCGACUCUGGCUCUAUCCCAUCUCUGAGGCCUCGGUGGCCAGGGAGGAAUGCUGUGGCCUGGUACACCUUGGAGACUCAGAGCUCACGGGAGCCAAGCUCUCCAUUUUACGGGUAAGGAAACUGAGACCUAGGCAGAAGCAACACGCCAGGAAGUAGGUGGCCAAAAUAAUCCACAUC